rnacentral:lncRNA from 10 species
CCUCCGGGGUUCAAGUGAUUCUCCUGCCUCAGCCUCCUGAGUAGCUGGGACUAUAGGCACGCGCCACCACACCCAGCUAAUUUUUGUAUUUUUAGUAGAGAUAGGGUUUCACCAUCUUGGCCAGGAUGGUCUUGAUCUCUUGACCUCGUGAUCUGCCCGCCUCAGCCUCCCAAAGUGCUGGGAUUACAGGUGUGAGCCACCGCGCUCAGCCCAGGGUAAUUAACUUCUAUCAAAUUAUACUGAUAGACUGAGGAAAGGCAGACAUUCUUAUUUCUCAUUUGGGUCAGUGGCCAAUAGCGGGAUACAUUAGGUAAUGUGCUAUAAGCCUCAAACACGUACCUUUACAAAUCACUGUAUCGCUCUUAGUAGAUAAGGCACUAAUUAACUGAAAGUUGGUGAUAGAAAAGGGCUGAAGUAAGUAUCUUUUUCUAUCCAGGUAUUUAAUGAGAAUCUACUCAGGGCAGGGCAUUGUCCGAGAGAGCCACAGGGAGCGUGAAGAUGAAUGAAAUGGAGACCCUGUCCCUGAGAAGCUUAGAGCUGAAAGACACUUAAGACGUGUGGACAGAAAACC